GCCAAGGUGAGCAGUCUGGAAGGCAUGCAAGCAUGCAGGGAUAUAUAUGGGGACAAACCAUACGUGCUGCUGGAGCAGUUUAUCAGUAUGGGAGGGACCAGGGGAGAUCCUCUUCUGGGACCUCAAUGUGAUCUGAUGGGGCAAAUGAUCUUCACAUCUCGGGCAGGAGCAGAAGGGAAGCAUCUAGGCAGCUCAUCAGCAGUGUCUGCAGCUACCUACCUUCGGGGUGUAUGCUGUUGUGCUCCAGGAUGGAGCUUCUUCCCAAUGUGCUUGGCAAGGACAUCAGGUGCAGAGGUGGAGGGAGCAGGACUGAGAAUGCCUCCAGGACCCAGAUGAAAGAGGAUGGAGUUCAGCCCACACUCUCUGAGACCAUCAGAGACAUACAUCCUUUUGCAGAAGGAAAGUAAGAAGUGUUUUUUAAAUACGAUAAGUAUUUCAGAAAUGUCUUUUCUCCCUCCAAGGAUGGUUCUUUUCACAGCCUUACAAGCAGCAGAUGAGCAAUCCAGCACACUCCUGGGUUGUACCACCCCGAAGGCCUCAACACUUCGCAGCCGUGUCACCUCCAAGAUGUCCAAAGGCAGCUAACAUUUGUGCAAAGCUGGUUUUGACCAACAACCAUCUCAGGGCCCCAUUGAUAAUUGCACACUUUAUUUUGGUUGGAACUCUCUAUUUUUAUGUUUCAAUCACAUCGUAUUCACCCUCCCCUUUCUAAACAUCUAGUCUUCCUGCUAUUCCAAAUAGGCCACUUUUCAUCCAAAUAUGUCCUUUCUUUCCUGGCAAAAAUGCAUAAACCUAACGACUAAUGAGCAAUUAAUGCAUUAGAACGCUACAGUUGACUCUUCUUUACAUCAUAAAUACUCACAACAAAAGCACACUAGCCAUCCCCACUAUAAAUGCAUGUUAUUCUCUCUUUUACAGCUUCUUGAUGGCUUUUUUUUAGGUGAAAAAUACAAGUUCAUCCUCAUUUCUGACCUUGACAUGCAUGUCUUAAUCAAGCUUUGCUUGAGAGAAGUGAUCCACAAUCAGAGAGAACAGAUGCUUACUCCCUGGCCAGAAGAAAUUAUCAGGAGAGACUUGAGCCUUUGAUACCAUGAAUAAAUUGUCAGGCAUGAAAAAAGGAUACAAAAAUGCCUAUGGAAAGCAUGGCUUUCCAUGACAGGGCCUUUCUUUUUCAGAAAAUGGCGAGGACUUACUGUUUGCUUUUAUUAAUUCACACACAUCCCUGAUGUUAUCACUGAACACAUCUAUGCUGAGGGCUUUAACAGCUGCUUUCCUCCAGAUGCUGAUGGGAUGCUCUGGCUGAACGCAGGCCAUUGGGAGGUGCAUAGCUUUAUGAUGGAUGGGACUUUUGGACUGGAAAGUGGAAAAUAAGGUUCCCAUGCUUGGUUAGAACUGGACUGGGCAUGGAAAGUCAACAGCAAACUUCCUAAUACACUUGUGUUUCACAACAUGCUCUGUACUGUGAAGACCAGCAUGGCAGUGAACUGCAGUCCUAACUGGAGUGGCCAGAGACACGUGCCUCAUAUCCUACAGAAAACUUACUCUAAGAAAUCUCUUGGCAUUCCUGGUUUCCUCCCCAGCAUUUCUAUUCAGUGUUCAAGCACCUUGGUGGAGAAACUGUGCCUUGCUGGGAUAACAACCUCUCCAAACCACUGGGAUGCAGAAAAGACACCUUCUUAAAAACCACUGAAGUAACUCUGAAGCCAAAGUCUGGUAUCCAAAAGCCUGUUAAGCAAUCAACAUCUGGGGACUGUCGGCACAAUACUGCGGGUCAGAUCCUCUGGAGCCAUUUUCCCUUGCACUGCACAGGAUGUAAGAAUCCAUUGGAUCCACGUAGGCAGCAAAGCAAGGCUUAUCUGGAAGCACUGCCCAGGCACUUGGAGAAGCUCAGUGGAGUGGCAGAAGUGUUUGGGAACUCCUUCACUGACAACCUCAGAAAGGUGGGACCCUUGCCAGAGCUUCUUUCCUUCCCCUUGCCACAUCUCAAAGGGUAACCUUUGUUUCUUUCCCUUGACAGAAUCCAGAUGGUGCAACCAGGAAUUUCUGGCUGGCAGGACUGUGUUUGGAAAUGCACUCAAAGAAAGCCAUGGGCCUGCUAUAAAGCCUUCUUGAACACAGCUGCAGCCUAGUGAUCCAGGUGCCAGCCAUGGGCCUGACCUGCUAUGGCACUGCCCAUGGGUUGCUGCUGAAUUCAGAGCCCAGCAGGGAUCUUAGGGAUUCUUUCCCCCAGCCAAGGAGGAACCAAGGGGCUCUGACCUCAGACCAACACACUGACCUUGCCAAAGGGCCAUCAAAGGUUGCAAGUUUUGUAUGUAUACAAGUCAGUGUGCAACAAACAGCUGAUAUUUAAGCGCAUCACAGCUCAGGAAGCAAGGUGAUAUACCAGCUUCAACACCUUCAGCCAACACACAGAGAUUGCCAACACACUGGGCUGGGGAUGCAGGAGAAAGGAGCAACCAGUCCAUACCUCUGCUCAGGAGGAGCCAGAGAGGGGCCAGGAAACAGGGAGGCAGGAAGAUGUGGCUGUCCCACUUGGGGCUGACAGGCAAGCUGGGAAAACUUGCAAGGAGAGCAA
ensembl:lncRNA